AUGCUCGCUUCAGCAGUACAUAUAUGAAAAUUAAAACAAUACAGAGAAGAUUAGUAUGGCCCCUGCACAAUGAUGACACCCAAAUUCAUGAAGCAUUCCAUAUUUUU
rnacentral:snRNA from 1 species